GGAUCCAUAAGCUCAAACAGGGAAGAGCGCUCAAGCAAUUGUUUUGAGAGGAGGGUGGUUCGAUUCCACCUGGAUUCG